rnacentral:lncRNA from 1 species
GCGGAGCGCCGAGGCUCGCGUUCCGCCGCUGCUUCCGUCGCCGGGGCGGGCGCCGCGGUGUCCCUGCCGAGCGUGAGCCCCGAACUGUCACCGCGCCGAGCCCCAGCCUCAUCCGUCGGUGUCCGCGGUCCGAGCUUUCCCCGCCUCGCUGGCGGCCCGCGCUCUCCCCCGCCGUGCGCGUUCGCCGCUGUGGCCUGUAGCUACCUCGCCUCGCUGCUUUGUCUCCGCUGCUCUUGCCGUCCUUCCCGCGGCCUUCUGCGGGCGGGGCUGUCGGCUGUCGCUUUGCUGCUCCGCGACGGCGGCCUUGAGUCUCGCUCCCCCGGUGGGAAACGUAGAACUGGUUACUCGCCACCUUAGGCGGUGGGGUUUGAAUGAGAGCGGUGCCUCGGUAGGUCGUCAGAAAGUUACAGUCGCCCAUCUGAGCGUUUGUAAGAGAUGGAGGCAGGAGUGGUGAGGUUGAUUCUUCACCACACUGAAACCAUUAGGAAAAAUCCUUGUGGUUAACAGCAGAGGCUUCAGAGUGUAACCUGUACUCGGGCCUAGAAAUUAUUUAAAAUGGCGACUGAUACGUCUCAAGGUGAACUCGUCCAUCCUAAGGCACUCCCACUUAUAGUAGGAGCUCAGCUGAUCCACGCGGACAAGAGAGCUGAUAGUAUUCAUUCCACUCUUUUCAUAAUUGGUCAGAACAGUUAGAAAUUGCUUUUAACUAUAGUCAUGCAUUGCUUAACAAUGGGUAUACAUUCUGAGAGAUACAUCUUUAGGCGAUUUCAUCAUCGUGCCAACAUCAUAAAGUGUACUUACACAAACCUACGUGGUACAGCCUACUACAUACCUAGGCUUUAUGGGAUAGUCUGUUGCUUCUAGGCUACAAACCUGUACAGCAUGUUACUGUACUAAAUACUGUAGGCAGUUAUAACACAACGGUAAGUAUUUGUGUAUUUAAACAUAGAAAAGGUACAGUAAAAAUAUAAUAUAAAAGAUAAAAAAUGGU